AAUGGGAGAAUGACAAAUCAAAAUUUUCCUUUUAAUUUUUAGCUUUUUCAUCGUGAAAAAAUUCAAAUCCAACUAAAAAAAGCUGAAAAUUAGGAGGAAAAAUCUUAUUUGUCAUUCUCCUAUU
rfam:Gossypium raimondii Chr02_contig_785, whole genome shotgun sequence.